rnacentral:piRNA from 1 species
UGCUCAGGUGAGAAAUGUGAAUCUGUGCAAG